CGAGCGAGAGCGAUAUUGGCUCUGCUCAAUCGCAUGACGCUGCUGCAUCGCACGAAAAAUUUGCGAUGGGAAUGGAUCGAUGGAGUCGCAGCAGAGGCAUGAGAUUGAGCCGUGCCAAUAUCACUGGUGUUUUUC
rnacentral:pre_miRNA from 1 species